AUUGAACGCUGGCGGCAGGCCUAACACAUGCAAGUCGAGCGAGCGGAGCACGGGGGAGUAAUGUAUGGGGACUGCCCGAUAGAGGGGGAUAACAACUGGAAACGGUAUCUAAUACCGCAUACUAUCCGAUUAUCCAUAUGGGAUUAGCUAGUAGGUGAGGUAAUGGCUCACCUAGGCGACGAUCCCUAGCUGUUCUGAGAGGAUGAUCAGCCACACUGGGACUGAGACACGGCCCAGACUCCUACGGAGGCAGCAGUGGGGAAUAUUGCACAAUGGGCGCAAGCCUGAUGCAGCCAUGCCGCGUGUAUGAAGAAGGCCCUAGGGUUGUAAAGUACUUUCAGUCGGGAGGCGUUACCGACAGAAGAAGCACCGGCUAACUCCGUGCCAGCAGCCGCGGUAAUAC
rnacentral:rRNA from 1 species